rnacentral:rRNA from 1 species
UACGUAGGGUGCAAGCGUUGUCCGGAAUUAUUGGGCGUAAAGAGCUCGUAGGCGGUUUGUCGCGUCUGCUGUGAAAACUCGGGGCUUAACUCCGGGCCUGCAGUGGGUACGGGCAGACUAGAGUGCGGUAGGGGAGACUGGAAUUCCUGGUGUAGCGGUGAAAUGCGCAGAUAUCAGGAGGAACCCCGGUGGCGAAGGCGGGUCUCUGGGCCGUAACUGACGCUGAGGAGCGAAAUCGUGGGGAGCGAACAGG